rnacentral:rRNA from 1 species
UACGGAAGGCAGCAGUGGGGAAUAUUGCACAAUGGGCGCAAGCCUGAUGCAGCCAUGCCGCGUGUAUGAAGAAGGCCUUCGGGUUGUAAAGUACUUUCAGUCGUGAGGAAGGUGUUAAGGUUAAUAACCUUAGCAAUUGACGUUAGCGACAGAAGAAGCACCGGCUAACUCCGUGCCAGCAGCCGCGGUAAUACGGAGGGUGCGAGCGUUAAUCGGAAUUACUGGGCGUAAAGGGCACGCAGGCGGUUAAUUAAGUUGGAUGUGAAAUCCCCGGGCUUAACCUGGGAAUGGCAUUCAAGCUGGUUAGCUAGAGUCUUGUAGAGGGGGUUAGAAUUCCAUGUGUAGCGGUGAAAUGCGUAGAGAUGUGGAGGAAUACCGGUGGCGAAGGCGGCCCCUGGACAAGACUGACGCUCAUGUGCGAAAGCGUGGGGAGCAAAC